AUAUAAUUUAAAAUCUAAUCUGCUCACUGAGUAUUUUAAAGAGCCGCAGUAUUUUGACUGUGCAAAGGUAGCAUAAUCAAUAGGUUUUUAAUUGAAAUCUGGAACGAAUGAUUGGAUGACAAAUCUUCUUUCUUAAUUUUAUAUAUUGAAUUUAAAUUUUAGGUUAAAAUUCCUAAAUAUAAUUAAAAGACGAGAAGACCCUAUAGAUUUUUAUUUAUUUAUUAAAUUAAAUAUAUAUGUAUUAAUUUAUAGUUAAAUUUAAUUGGGGUGAUUUUGUAAUAUAAUAAACUUAAUUUUUUUGUACCAUAAAUAAUUGAAUUUUUUAAUCUAAAAUUUUUAAAUUAAGAAUAAAUUACCUUAGGGAUAACAGCGUUAUAUUAUUUAAGAGUUCAUAUCUAUAAUAAUGAUUGCGACCUCGAUGUUGAAUUAAGAUAAUUAUAGGAGUAGAAGCUUAUAAUUUUAGUCUGUUCGACUAAUA
rnacentral:rRNA from 1 species